rnacentral:rRNA from 1 species
AGUUUGAUCAUGGCUCAGAUUGAACGCUGGCGGAAUGCUUUGCACAUGCAAGUCGAGCGGCAGCGCGGGGCAACCUGGCGGCGAGCGGCGAACGGGUGAGUAAUACAUCGGAACAUGUCCAUUCGUGGGGGAUAGCCCGGCGAAAGCCGGAUUAAUACCGCAUACGCCCUACGGGGGAAAGCGGGGGACUUCGCAAGAGGCCUCGCGCGAAUGGGUUGGCCGAUGUCCGAUUAGCUAGUUGGUGGGGUAAAGGCAUACCAAGGCGAUGAUCGGUAGCUGGUCUGAGAGGAUGAUCAGCCACACUGGGACUGAGACACGGCCCAGACUCCUACGGGAGGCAGCAGUGGGGAAUUUUGGACAAUGGGGGCAACCCUGAUCCAGCCAUUCCGCGUGAGUGAAGGAGGCCUUCGGGUUGUAAAGCUCUUUUGUCCGGAACGAAACGGGAGGCGUUAAUAGCGCCUUCUACUGACGGUACCGGAAGUAUAAGCACCGGCUAACUACGUGCCAGCAGCCGCGGUAAUACGUAGGGUGCGAGCGUUAAUCGGAAUUACUGGGCGUAAAGCGUGCGCAGGCGGUUUUGUAAGCCAGAUGUGAAAGCCCCGGGCUUAACCUGGGAAUGGCAUUUGGGACUGCAAGGCUUGAGUGCG